GACAGAGGGUGCAACCGCUGUUCGGAAUUACUGGGCGUAAAGCGCGUGUAGGCGGCUAUGCAAGUCGGGCGGGAAAUCCCACGGCUCAACCGUGGAAGUGCACCCGAAACUGCGUAGCUAGAGUCCUGGAGAGGAAGGUGGAAUGCUUGGUGUAGAGGUGAAAUUCGUAGAUAUCAAGCGGAACACCGGUGGCGAAGGCGGCCUUCUGGACAGUGACUGACGCUGAGACGCGAAAGCGUGGGGAGCAAACAGG
rnacentral:rRNA from 1 species